rnacentral:rRNA from 1 species
CCCUUAGAUGAUUUGGGCUGCACGCGCGCUACACUGACCCUAACAAUGAGCAACUGUCUGGCCUGAGAUGGCUGGGUAGCCUUUUCAACCCAUGUCAUGAUUGGGCUAGAUUUUUGUAAGUCUUGAUCUCUAACGAGGAAUCCCUAGUAUGUGUGAAUCAUCAAUCCAUGCAGAUUAUGUCCCUGCCCUUUGUACACACCGCCCGUCGCACCUACCGAUUGGAUGGUCCGGUGAAGCCUCGGGAUUGUGGUUCUUGCCGCUUUAUUGUGGCGUGACCGCGAGAACUUGUCUAAACCUUAUCAUCUAGAGGAAGGUGAAGUCGUAACA